GACGGGGGGUCCAAGCGUUGUUCGGAAUCAUUGGGCGUAAAGCGUGUGCAGGUGGUUUUGUAAGUUGGAUGUGAAAGCCCCGGGCUUAACCCGGGAAGUGCAUUCAAAACUGCAAAACUUGAGUAUGGAAGAGGGUCGUGGAAUUCCAGGCGUAGUGGUGAAAUACGUAGAUAUCUGGAGGAACACCGGUGGCGAAGGCGGCGACCUGGUCCUAUACUGACACUCAUACACGAAAGCGUGGGGAUCAAACAGG
rnacentral:rRNA from 1 species